GGCCGUGUGCCCGAGUGGUUCAGGGACUCGCCUGCAAAGCGAGUGACACGGGUUCGAAUCCCGUCACGGCCU
rnacentral:tRNA from 1 species